AUGGCUGUCGUCAGCUCGUGUCGUGAGAUGUUGGGUUAAGUCCCGCAACGAGCGCAACCCUUGUCCUUAGUUGCCAUCAUUUAGUUGGGAACUCUAAGGAGACCGCCGGUGACAAACCGGAGGAAGGUGGGGAUGACGUCAAGUCAUCAUGGCCCUUAUGACCAGGGCUACACACGUGCUACAAUGGUAGGUACAAAGGGUCGCGAAGCCGCAAGGUGGAGCCAAUCCCAUAAAGCCUAUCGUAGUCCGGAUCGGAGUCUGCAACUCGACUCCGUGAAGUCGGAAUCGCUAGUAAUCGUAGAUCAGCAUUGCUACGGUGAAUACGUUCCCGGGUCUUGUACACACCGCCCGUCACACCAUGGGAGUUGAUUGCACCAGAAGCAGGUAGCCUAACCGCAAGGGGGGCGCCUACCACGGUGUGUUCAAUGACUGGGGUGAAGUCGUAACAAGGUAGCCGUACGGGAACGUGCGGCUGGAUCACCUCCUUUAAAGAGACAGCACCAACGACAAGUUGGCGCGAGCCCCUUCACAAGUUACCUAUUCAAUUGUUAGUUGGUGUUGUCCAUCUUUGGACUCCUCCAGGGGAAAGUCGACGCUUGCCGCCGGGUCUGUAGCUCAGUUGGUUAGAGCGCACCCCUGAUAAGGGUGAGGUCGGAGGUUCAACUCCUCCCAGACCCACCAUAUCGUUUGGGUCGCGGCGUCGGACGUCAGUUCAAGCGGACGGGGCCAUAGCUCAGCUGGGAGAGCGUCGCGUUUGCAACGCGAAGGUCGUCGGUUCGAUCCCGACUGGCUCCACCAACUAUUCGAAGUCACAGCGUGUCAUGAGUCAUGCAGCGGCGUUUCAUCGCUGCAUGACUCAUGGCAUGCGAGUCACGGGACUCGUGUGUGCUCUUUAAAAAUUCGGCAAUUUGUUUUGACGCUCAAACGUAGAUGUCAUCUUUAAAUCUACGAAUGAGAUGUCGCAUUCGAGAACCAGUUGAUUGUGAUUUUUUGUAUGACUCCAAAUCGCUUGGGGUUAUAUGGUCAAGUGAAUAAGCGCACAUGGUGGAUGCCUUGGCGACAGAAGGCGAUGAAGGACGUGGUAGCCUGCGAUAAGCUUCGGGGAGCCGGCAAAUAUGCAUCGAUCCGAAGAUUUCCGAAUGGGGAAACCCGG
rnacentral:sRNA from 1 species